UAGACAUUGGAAGAAAAAGUCUACCCAACCUCCGGUUUGUGGGUCGCACUCCACACUCCUGACGUGGCGAACCCGGUUCUUCACCUACGUCGGUUUAGUUGCUCACUUCUCUCAGGCUUCUCUCACUUGCCUCUUACCCUUCACUCCCCCAGGGCCAAGCUUCCCUCAGCCAUCCUCUUCUCCCUCAGACUCGAGCCUGCUUCGUUCCUCCCCCCAGCGCCCAUCUCUUCUCCGUCAGCCCAUAUUUUCUCCCUCAACCCGGUCUUACUCUUCCCUCACCCAUCACCCCGACACCCCUUACCCCUGAAACCCUAGAAAUGCUAUUUAUCAUCCUUAACGAAGACCUCAUCUCCCUCACCCCCUUUAGUCCUGAUCUGUCCCUCUCACCGAGCCCUCUUUGUAAGGAUCCCGUGCUGACCCCAGCCAUCUCUCUCGCUCUCAAACUCCGAACGGUGGGUUGAGGUUCUCUUGCAAACUCCAGACAUCGUAGACAAACCCAGAUCCGCCAAUCUCUCCAUUGUAGACGUCAAUAACCCAAGGAUGAUAGCCGGAGACUUGCAUCCACAUUAUUUCCAUCAUUGAGUCCCCAACUGAAAAGAAAAAAGGAUCAUGAAUUACUGGCAAAAAAUCCUGAGGUAACAGUCCUUGAUCCUCCAUAUGCCAUAGAACAUCUGCACAAUGGUCAGUCCAUGCUGCCGGAUGUGGCAGAUCUAAACUUGUCCGACUGCCAUG